UCUCCCCUUAUUAAAUCAGUUAUGGUUCCCUUAGAUCGUUUCUUCCUACUUGGAUAACUGUGGCAAUUCUAGAGCUAAUACAUGCAGUGAGCCUGAAGCCCUUUGGGCGACGGGUGCUUUUAUUAGACCAAGAUCGAUCGGGUUUCGGCCCGUAUUGUGUGGUGACUCUGGAUAACUUUGUGCUGAUCGCAUGGCCACGAGCCGGCGACGUUUCUUUCAAGUGUCUGCCUUAUCAACUUUCGAUGGUAGGUUACUUGCUUACCAUGGUUGUUACGGGUAACGGAGAAUCAGGGUUCGAUUCCGGAGAGGGAGCCUGAGAAACGGCUACCACAUCCAAGGAAGGCAGCAGGCGCGCAAAUUACCCACUCCCGGCACGGGGAGGUAGUGACGAAAAAUAACAAUACGGGACUCUUUUGAGGCCCCGUAAUUGAAAUGAGUACACUCUAAAUCCUUUAACGAGGAUCAAUUGGAGGGCAAGUCUGGUGCCAGCAGCCGCGGUAAUUCCAGCUCCAAUAGCGUAUACUAAAGCUGCUGCGGUUAAAAAGCUCGUAGUUGGAUCUCAGUUCCAGACGAGUAGUGCAUCUACCCGAUGCGACGGCUCGGACUGAACAUCAUGCCGGUCCUUUCUUGGUGCACUUCAUUGUGUGCCUCGAGAAGGCCGGUGCUUUUACUUUGAAAAAAUUAGAGUGCUCAACGCAGGCGAGUCGCCUGAAUAAACUUGCAUGGAAUAAUAGAACAAGACCUCGUUUCUGUUCUGUUGGUUUUUGGAAUACGAGGUAAUGAUUAAGAGGGACAGACGGGGGCAUUCG
rnacentral:rRNA from 1 species